CCUACGGGAGGCAGCAGUAGGGAAUAUUGCUCAAUGGGGGAAACCCUGAAGCAGCAACGCCGCGUGGAGGAUGAAGGUUUUCGGAUAGUAAACUCCUUUUGUUAGAGAAGAUAAUGACGGUAUCUAACGAAUAAGCACCGGCUAACUCAGUGCCAGCAGCCGCGGUAAUAGGGAGGGUGAAAGCGUUACUCGUAAUCACUGGGCGUAAAGAGCGCGGAGGCGGGAUAGCAAGUCAGAUGUGAAAUCCUAUGGCUUAACCUUAGAACUGCAUUUGAAACUGUUAUUCUAGAGUAUGGGAGAGGUAGGUGGAAUUCUGGGUGUAGGGGUAAAAUCCGUAGAGAUCAAGAGGAAUACUCAUUGCGAAGGCGACCUGCUAGAACAUAACUGACGCUGAUGCGCGAAAGCGUGGGGAGCAAACAGGAUUAGAUACCCCAGUAGUC
rnacentral:rRNA from 1 species